GAAGGAGAAGCAAAAUCUACAGAAGUAUUAUUUGUAAUUUAUAUAUAUGAUUGAAAAUUUAUCUUACAUAUUUUGCAACUGAAAUUACAUUGAUUCAAGUAUCCAUGUUAACAUCUAUGGCUUGAA